AUAUCCAGACCUCCACUGCCACCGCUUAUUUAGGUUCCGAACUCCCCCAAAACGUGAAUCCAUCAAUGUUCUUCACGUUUAACAGGAAUGGCAGCGCGUAAACAACGACGCAGACGGAAAGCAGCAGCACCAGUAUGCGUACAAGUGCAGGCUUUUCCUUGUCGUCUUCUUUCUUUCUCUCGACCAACAGUGCGCCUAGUACUGUUCCAGCUUUGAGGCAGACACGUUUCGUCCUUGUGGCUGCGG
rnacentral:misc_RNA from 1 species